GCCGACGUAGCUCAGUGGCAGAGCAACCGCCUUGUAAGCGGUGGGUCAAGGGUUCGACUCCCUUCGUCGGCU
rnacentral:tRNA from 1 species